GUUUGGCGUUGCAGCUGUGUGGGCGCUGGUGCGUGCGAGUAGCGCUCGAAGAAACCCAAAGGCGUCGUGGGGCUGCCGUGUGCCCCAGAGAGCACUGCAGGCCGGGUAGGGGCUAAGGCUCCCCGCAGUCUUCUGUGUGUCGUCCAGUACGCAGUUGAAAUCGUUCUCCAACCUGGCCAGUCCUCCGAGGCCCUUCUCAGGCGACCAGACUCUGUUAACAGAGUCCAUUGCUAAAACUCCUCGUUAGUAUUUACCACUCCUCCAGUCUGUGUUUUGAAGCAGUGGUUUUCAACCACUGCCCGUUUUCAGAAGAAAUCAUCUCAAGCGUCCGUGUGCUGCUAGAAGCCGGGCCGGGAGGUCUUGGUGCCGGACUCCACCCUGCAGCCCUUCCCUUUCGCCACCGCCCUGUGCUUAGAGAAACCUUAGAGUGGAGCAAUGAGUCGCCCUUGACUGAGUAACUCUUCGGGGUCAACUUCUCCUUCCACGCCAAGGAAAGGAUUCCAGGGCGAUGUUUCUGGAAAUAGAGAUCUGACCAAGCCACUGCUCUGGUGAAAAUUCAGUGGGUCCCUAGCACCUAGUGCAGCGGCUCCUAGCCUGAGUAUUGCCGUCUUUCGGUGGGGAGGGGUUGGGUUUUUUUGUAGCAUCUGUUGAUCUGAUCUCCAACAUCCUCCACGUCAAUUCCCACUCCACCCACAUCCCUUAUCCUAUACGUAAGCUUUCCAGCCACGGUGCUGGCUUGGGUGGGGGUGCGUGCGGUGCUGACACCAAAAUGGAGGUCCCGUGUUUCUGAGAGUCUCUUUCAGAGCAAUGCAAACCUGAAACUACUCCUGCCAAGAAACGAUUGCAGCUCUUCCCGGAAAAGUUAAAGCCUUUGAGAAACAAAGCUGAGGUGGGUAACUUAAUUAAAAAAAUACAGAGAGGAGUUUCAAGUAGACUAAGUGGGAAGAAAAGGAAAGAGUCUUGGGUGGGGCAGGGAUUCAGGGCACCAGCUUCCUUAUCGCUGAGCCUGGGGGGUGGGGGAGGAGGGGGCAUGUGUUGUCACGGGAGGCAUUGAUAGAGCAACCUCCUUCAGGGAAAGAAAAAUGGAGAUAGGAAGCAGAGUGAGGAAAGGCCACAGUGGAGUCUGAGGGCUUCGGGGUGGACUUCUGGCAGGAGCCUUCUCCAGCCAUGGCUUUAGGGCUGAUAUGGUUAGGUGCUUUGUGUCCCCACCCAAGUCUCAUCUUAAAUUGUAAUCCCCAUAAUCCCCACGUGUCAAAGGAGAGACCUGGUGGAGGUAAUUGAAUCGUAGGGGUGGUUUCCACCAUGCCGUUCUCAUGAUAGUGUGUGAGUUCUCAGGAAAUCAGAUGGUUUUAUAAGGGGCUCUUCCCCCAUCACUCCACACUUCUUUCUGCUGCUUUGUGAAAGAGGUGCCUUGCUUCCACUUCUGCCGUGAUUGUAAGUUUCCUGAGACCUCCCUAGUCAUGCAGAAUUGUGAGUUAAUUAAACCUCUUUCCUUUCUAACUUACCCAGUCUUGGGUAGUUUUUUGGUUUUGUUUUGUUUUGAGAUGGAGUCUCACUCUGUCACCUAGGCUGGAGUGCAGUGGCGUGAUCUCGGCUCACUGCAACCCCCACCUCCCAGGUUCAAGCGAUUGUCCUGACACAGUCUCCUAAGUAGCUGGGAUUACAGGCACACACCACCACGCCCAGCUAAUUUUUGUAUUUUUAGUAGAGACGGAGUUUCACCAUGUUGGCCAGGCUGGUCUCCAACUCCUGACCUCAAGUGAUCUGCCCACCUCGGCCACCAAAAGUGCUGGGAUUACACAUGUGAGCCACCGUGCCCGGCCUUUUUGUUUUGUUUUGUUUUUGAGACAGAGUCUCACUCUGUCACCCAGGCUGGAGUGCAGUGGUGUGAUCUGGCUUACUGCAACCCGCACCUCCUGGGUUGAAGUGAUUUUCCUGCCUCAGGCGCCCACCACCACGCCUGGCCAUGGGCAGCUCUUUAUAGCAGUAUGAAAACAGGGUCCCUCUCGGUUGUCCUGUCUGGACUGUCAGUUCACCUGAGCUAGACUCAGGCAGGGGGCUUCCUUUGGCUUUGCUCACCUUGCUGCUGUGGGUCCACUUCAAUAAGAUGACAACAAAGCAGAGCUCACCUGAGGACAUGCAAGAGCCCUCGUUUAUGGAGCUUGCAGACUUCACAAGACUCCUAAGAAUUGUUGAACGAUCGCUGGUUACGGCUUCUUGAGAUGGAUUACUUGCUUGCUGAAGCACCUGCUUGCUUGACUGUUGCUGCCUGAAUUCCUCUUUUUCCCAGGAGACCAGCUAGGGUGGGGAGAGCCUUGCUGGAGCCCUAAGCAAGGAAGGCUGAUUUCCAGGGGUGUAGGCUGGCUGACACGGGUGUCACUUUGUUAUAGAUUAAGAUAUACCACAUAAGCAAUAUGGCAAAGUUGGGGGUUUUUUUUUGUUUUGUUUUUGUUUUUGAGAUGGAGUUUCGCUCUUGUUGCCCAGGCAGGAGUGCAAUGGUGCAAUCUGGGCUCACUGCAACCUCUGCCUCCCACGUUCAAGCAGUUCUUCUGCCUCAGCCUCCUGAGUAGCUGGGAUUACUGGCAUGCGCCACCACGCCCGGCUAAUUUUGUAUUUUUAGUAGAGACAGAGUUUCUCCAUGUUGGUCAGGCUGGACUCGAACUCCCGACCUCAGGUGAUCCACCUGCCUCGGCCUCUCAAAGUGCUGGGAUUACAGGCGUGAGCCACCAUGCCUGGCAUAUAUGGCAAAGUUUUAACACCAUUUUUUACUAAGAUAAGUAUCAUAAAGGACUUUGUAAAGAAUAUAUUACAACCGAUCAGGCCAGUGGCUUUUUGUUUGUUUGUUUAGCAGGAUUUGAUUGAACCUCAUCAUGCUAUAGAUCUUCCAUUCAGGGAUGAUGAUGUGGGCAUAGUUCAGUGGAGGCUGCCUGCAAUGAAACUGGGCAGAGGCAAGAAUCGAGAGAUCAGCUUUAGCCCAGCUCCCAGGAGCACCAGAGUUAAGAAGGAUAUCUCCUAGAGGGAAAGCCAGAGACCAGGCAAGGGAACAUACAUGAACACCCAGCCUGUGCUCUGGUGUGAGGUUGCAACAGGAGUAGGAUUGGUUCAAUCAGCAUAUUUUCUUUCAUGUACUAGGUUGAAAGUAUUAGUCCAUUUUAUAGAUGAAGAAAUGGAGGCCCAGAGAGAUCACGUGACUUAGCCAAGUCCACCAAGUGAGUAGACGGAGAUGACCUGACCUCUGGAGUUCUGUCUCUAACAUACCCUAGUUCUUUCUUGAUUGUCCAUAAUAUACAAACACAGUGGCCUGAGAAUAUUUACUCCCCUGGUCACUAUUUCUUCAGCUGGAAAGGGAAACAAAUUAGUAACAUUUGAAAAAACAAAAACCCCAACAACUAAAAAAGUAUUACUAAAUGCAAUGCUGUUUGAGAGAACAAACUGUCAACAAAAAUAAUACUUAAUUCUCUGGAAGUGAAAUUAAUUAAAAAUUCAGAGGAGAUACCAGAACACUAGCUGGUAGGAUUAAAUAAGUGAAGGACCAGCUGGAGCAACAUAGCAAGACCUCAUCUCCUCAAAAACAAAAAAGAAAAGAAAAUUAGGCGUGGUGGCAUGUACCUGUAGUCCUACUUACUUGGGAGGCUGAGUGUCAAGGGUUGGGGGGAGAGAGGAGGAUUUGGAAGUAAUGACUCAGGGGGGUGGGGUUUCUUCUUGGGGUGAAAUGUUGGGGAUGGAAAUGUUCUGAAUUUAGCAUGCUGGACCACAUCAAGUUCAGAAGCUUCUGAACAGCGAAGGAAACAAUCAAUGAAGAGACCCACAGAAUGAGAGAAAAUAUUUGCAAACCACUCAUCUGAAGCUCAGAUAACUCCAUAGGAAAAAAAUCGAAUAAUCCGAUUUAAAAAUGGGCAAAAUAUCUGAAUAGACAUUUCUCAAAAGAAGACACAUAUUCUACAUUGAAAAAAAAAAAUAAGGCCGGGCGCGGUGGCUCAUGCCUGUAAUCCCAGCACUUUGGGAGACUGAGGAGGGCAGAUCACCUGAGGUCGGGAGUUCGAGACCAGCCUGACCAACAUGGAGAAACCCCGUCUCUAUUAAAAAUACAAAAUUAGCUGGGUGUGGUGGCACAUGCCUGUAAUCCCAGCUACUAGGGAGGCCGAGGCAGGAGAAUCGCUUGAACCUGGGAGGUGGAGGUUGCAGUGAGCCAAGAUUGUGCCAUUGCACUCCAGCCUGGGCAACAAGAGCGAAACUUUGUCUCAAAAAAAAAAGAAAUAAGACAUACAAAUGGCAAACAGGGCCAGGCGCAGUGACUCACUCCUAGAAUCCUAGCACUUUGGGAGGCCAAGGCAAGUGGAUCACCUGAGGUCAGGGGUUUGAGACCAUCCUGGCCAACAUGGUGAACCCCUGUCUCUACUAAAAAUAUAUAUAUAAAUUAGCCAGUUGUAGUGGUGGGCUCCUGUAACCCCAGCUACUCUGGAGGCUGAGGUAGGAGAAUUGCUUGAACCCGGGAGGCAGAGGUUGCAGUGAGCUGAGAUUGCACCACUGCAUUCCAGCCUGGGCGACAGAGUGAGACCUUGUCUUAAAAAAAAAAAAAAUGGCAAACAAACAUAUAAAAAGGUGCUCAACAUCAUUAAUCAUCAGAUAAAUGCAAAUCAAAACUAUAAUGAGAUGUCAUCUCACCCCAGUUAAAAUGUUUUCUGUCCAAAAGACAGGCAGUAACACAUGUUGGUGAGGUUGUGGAGAAAAGGGAACCCUCAUAUACCAUUGAUGGAAUGUAAAUUAAUACAAUCACUAUGGAGAACAGUUUGGAAGUUCCUCAAAGACUAAAAAUAGAGUUACCAUACGAUCAAGCAAUCCCACUGCUAGGUAUGUACCCAAAAGAAAGGAAAUCAGUAUAUCUAAGAGAUAUCUGCACUCCUGUGUUUAUUGCAGCACUAUUCACAAUAGCCCAGAUUUAGAAGCAACCUAAGUGUCCAUCAACAAACGAAUGGGUAGAGAAAAUGUGGUACAUACACACAAUGGAGUACUAUUUAGCCAUAAAAAAGAAUGAGAUCCUGUCAUUUGAAACAACAUAGAUGGAAAUGGAGGUCAUUAUGUUAAGUGAAAUAAGCCAGAAAGACAAACAUCGCAUGUUCUCACUUACCUGUGAGAGCUAAAAAUUAAAACAAUUCAACUCAUGGGCAUAAAGAGUAGAAGGAUGAUUAUCAAAGGCUGGGAAAGGUAGCAGUGGGGCGGGGGUGGGAAGAGGGGAUGGUUAGUGGGUACAAAAAAAUUAGAACAAAUAAGACCUAGUAUUUGCUAGUACAACAGAGUGACUGUAGUAAAAAAUAAUUUAACUUCAUUUAAAAUUAACUAAAAGAAUAUAAUUGGAUCAUUUGAAACACAAAGGAUAAAUGCAUGAGGUGAUAGAUACCCUGUUGACCCUGAUGUGAUUAUUAUGCAUUGUAAGCCUGUAUCAAAACAUCUCAUAUACCCCAUAAAUAAAUACACCUACUAUGUACUCACAAACAUUAAAAAUUAAAAUAAAUAAAUAUAACGUGAUGGUUGCACGCUUCAGUGAAUAUAAUUUUUUCAAUGUUUUUAGCUUUUAGGUUCAGGGGUACAUGUGUGUGUUUGUUAUAUAGAUAAAUUGUGUGUUAUGGGGGUUUAGUGUACAGAUUAUUUCAUCACUCCAGUAAAAAGCAUAGUAUCUGAUAGGUACAUUUUUUCUUUUCUUUUUUUUUUUUUUUUUUUUUUUUUCUGUGAGGCAGAGUCUUGUUCUGUUGCCCAGGCUGGAGUGCAGUGGUAUAAUCAUAGCUCACUGCAGCCUCGACCUCCCACCUCAAAUAGCUGGGACUACCAGUUGUGCACCAUCAUGUUCAGCCUUUUUUUUUUGGAGAUGGUAUCUCACUCUGUAGCUGAGGCUGGAGUACAGUGGCACGAUCUUGGCUCACUACAACCUCUGCCUCCUAGGUUCAAGCAAUUCUCCUGCCUCAGCCUCCUGAGUUGCUGGGACUAGAGGGGCAUGCCGCCACACCUGGCUAAUUUUUUGUAUUUUAGUAGAGACAGGGUUUCACCGUGUUGUCCAGGCUGGUCUUGAACUCCCAAUGCUCAGCUAAUUUUUAAAAUUUAUUAUUUUGUAGAGACAGGGUCUCGCUAUGUUGCCCAGGUUGGUCUCGAACUCCUGGGCUCAAGCGAUUCUCCACCUUGGCCUCCCAAAGUGCUGAGAUUACAGGCAUGAGCCACCAAAUUAUACACUUUGAAUGGAUGAGUUAAAUGGUAUGUGAAUUAGAUCUUUAUAAAUCUGUUCAAAGGAUAGCAGUCACUCACUUUAGCCGAGAGAGAUUAUUUGGUAUUUUAUGGGUGACAGCAUAGUGACCUUGUUUUUGUCAGUGCUUAGACAAAAUUAUGACAUGGCCUUGCCUUGCCUCAUUUUAUCAUGGUCUCAGAGUAACCUUAUUGGAGGUUGGAAUUCUGUGAGUUUGUUAAUGUUCCCCAUGAAAGUCAGAUGAGUUUGUGACAACAUUGAGGUCUAACCAUGAAUGUCAAAUCUGCUCCGGAUGUCAGGAAGUGCUUUUUUUCUUUCUCAGCUAAUAUUGGGAAGCUCAGCAGGGUCCUGGGGGCCCACAGGAAUGUGAAUAAACACGCUUGGAAAGUCUGCAGAAUUUCCAGUCCUAGCCUCCUGCUGGUGUGAACCUGGGCUCCUGUGCCUGGGACCCUGGGAGGUGGGGGGACACCGGGCUGGAGGAAAUAAUGUGCCAUCUGGGAUUUUUUGUGCUUUCUUCUGUCUGUUGCUAUUUCAAAAUAUUUAAAGGCAGAAAGUUCACCACCUGCUCUGUCAAGGAGGCCCCGUCAUACCCCAGUGACCGCCUCCAGCUCUCACCCCUCUCUGUUGACCCCCUAGGAAUCCCUGAACAGCCCAGGGAGGACUUGGACGGUGGGGUGAAGGGAAGGGACAGGACCUGCAGCCUUUUCUGGCCCAGGCAAGAAGGAAACUUCCUGUCUUUCUUCUCCAUUGCAGAUUUGGGAUUAAGCCUUAUUUUGCAUUGGGUUUAAUCUCAACAGACACCGAGGGGCACCUGGAGUCCCUGCAAAACCUUGUCUGGUAUCAGCUACCUAUCAGAGGAUGCAGAGGACAAGGUCAGGUAGAGGCUGUUUCCAGUGAGAGGAAGGCAGGGGGAGGGCAUGGAAGGAGCACUGGAAAUGGGGUGGGAAAACCAAAGCUCCCUCCAUGCAGGGCUACUUAGGUGAGUCCCUUCCCUGUCUGGGCUCCCUUCCUUCCUUCCUUCCUUCCUUCCUUCCUUCCUUCCUUCCUUCCUUCCUUCUUUCCUUCCUUUCCUUCCUUCCUUCUUUCCUUUCUUCCUUGCUUCCUGCUCUCUCUGUUGCCCAGGCUGGAGUGCAGUAGCAUGUCCUCGCCUCACUGCAGCCUCGACCUCCUGGACUCAAGCCAUCCUCCCACCUCAGCCUCCUGAGUAGCUGGAGCUAUAGGCGUGUGCCACUACACACGGCUAACUUUUGUAUUUUUUGUAGAGAUGGGGUUUCACCAUCUUGUCCAAGCUGGUCUUGAACUCCUGGGCUCAAGCGAUCUGUCCACCUCAGCCUCCCAAAGUGCUGGGAUUACAGACAUGAGCCACCGUGCCCAGCCUGUGCCUUAGCAUUCUAUCCUAUGACUCAGAGGUAGCUGAGCUCCAUCUUCUAAAAUCAAGUGACCAUCACUGAGGCUGUCUCCUCCCCUAUAAAAUCAGGAUUGUGUUACUCAUUGUAGAAAAACCAGUAACCCCAGCAAGCAAGCUCACCCCCCUGGCUCCACAGACCUCCCCAGUCUCAUCUCUCAAGACUCCUGCCCUUCACAAGAUGCUCUGGCGCACCCCAGCCCUGUGCUCCCUCUCAUUUGGUUUCCUCUGCUUGGAUUGCCCUUCUCACCUUCUUUAGUUGGUGUCUGCUCACCUUCUAAGACUCAGCCCAGUCCUUAUCUCCUCCAGGAAGCCUUCCCCAAUCUCCCUUCCACUGGCUGGGUUAGGUGCUGUCCCUUGGGCUCCUAUCAAGUCUGGGCCAUUGCUGUCCUAAUAAUGUGGCUGAUAAUUUAUAGCUAGUCAUUAGAGUUGUAAUUUAUUGAGCCCUUACUCACAGCCUGCCCCUGAACCAGACCCUUUAUACAGCGUCACCUCAUUGAAUCUGACAAAGUAUAACUCAGCUCCUAGUUCAAAGUAAACAUCUGCCCUGCCAUUGAUCCCGCUGAGGUAACAGAAAUAAAGCCAGCUGUGGAGGUAACACGAAACAGUAGUUCUCCCAAGCAUAGGGUACAGCUAGAAAGUGCCACAACGUGCCUGCCUGCAAUGUGUGCACGUGCGUGCACACGUGUACGUGGAUAAACACGUCUGUGCACGUGUAUGUUGCUUCUCUGGCCAGGCCUGGCUGCCCCACUCAUGUGCACCCAGUUCCUCAUCACUGUCACCCCCGAGGCCCAGGGCCAGCAUCAGAGCAUCCCUGGCUGCUCCCUAACCUCAGCCCUCCCCGCCCAGGGUGGUCCUGGGAUACACAUAGGGGUGGAGGGAAGUGACUGCUGCUGCUGCUGGAUCUCAGAAUACAAAUACUAAUACUAUUACCUAAUGGUCUUUUUAGUGUCCCUAAUGGUCUUUUUAGUGUCUCUAAUUGUAUCUCUUUUUCGUUUCUGAUAUUUUAACUGGGUAUUUCUCUCCAUGACCCUUGGAUAUUCUAGCUAGAGGAUCCUGUGGGGAAAGUGCCGGGCACACAGUAGGGGCUCACUCUUCUAGACGUGUUAUCUAAAACCUGGUUCAUCUGUCCUUCCACGCAGGGCCUAGGGGAUGCCAAAUUCCAGGGUCCAGAAAGAGCUUGGGAUAAAAUGAACAUCCAAGGGGAGGGCUUUGACCUGGGCUGAGUCUGCCUGUGCCGAGUCUGCCUGUGCCAUCCAACUGGAGUCUCAAGUCCUGAGGCAGGACGUCCAGAUGCCCCAGUGCAGGGUCCUCCUGAUCAACACCUGCUCCCCUGUACUCAUUAGCAACCUCACCCACCCUACUCUCAAAGCACACUUGGCUCUCAUAUCCAGGAGCUCUGCAUCUGUAGAUUCAGCAACAGCAGAUGGAAAAUAUUCAGAAAAUAAAUUGGACAGUUAUAUUUCUAUUGAACAUGUGCAGACUUUGUUCUUGUCAUUAUUCCCUAAAGAAUACAGUAUCACGACCAUUUAUGUAGCAUCUGCAUUGUAUUACACAUCCUGAAUAAUCUAGAGAUGGUCUAAUGUCUACAGGAGGAUGUGCAUAGCUGAUAUGUAAAUACUAGGCCAUGUUAUGUCAGAGACUUGAGGAUCCAUGGAUUUUGUCAUCCCC
rnacentral:lncRNA from 1 species